rnacentral:rRNA from 1 species
AGAGUUUGAUCAUGGCUCAGGACGAACGCUGGCGGCGUGCCUAAUACAUGCAAGUCGAGCGAGCUUGCCUAGAUGAUUUUGGUGCUUGCACUAAAUGAAACUAGAUACAAGCGAGCGGCGGACGGGUGAGUAACACGUGGGUAACCUGCCCAAGAGACUGGGAUAACACCUGGAAACAGAUGCUAAUACCGGAUAACAACACUAGACGCAUGUCUAGAGUUUGAAAGAUGGUUCUGCUAUCACUCUUGGAUGGACCUGCGGUGCAUUAGCUAGUUGAUAAGGUAACGGCUUACCAAGGCAAUGAUGCAUAGCCGAGUUGAGAGACUGAUCGGCCACAUUGGGACUGAGACACGGCCCAAACUCCUACGGGAGGCAGCAGUAGGGAAUCUUCCACAAUGGACGAAAGUCUGAUGGAGCAACGCCGCGUGAGUGAAGAAGGGUUUCGGCUCGUAAAGCUCUGUUGGUAGUGAAGAAAGAUAGAGGUAGUAACUGGCCUUUAUUUGACGGUAAUUACUUAGAAAGUCACGGCUAACUACGUGCCAGCAGCCGCGGUAAUACGUAGGUGGCAAGCGUUGUCCGGAUUUAUUGGGCGUAAAGCGAGUGCAGGCGGUUCAAUAAGUCUGAUGUGAAAGCCUUCGGCUCAACCGGAGAAUUGCAUCAGAAACUGUUGAACUUGAGUGCAGAAGAGGAGAGUGGAACUCCAUGUGUAGCGGUGGAAUGCGUAGAUAUAUGGAAGAACACCAGUGGCGAAGGCGGCUCUCUGGUCUGCAACUGACGCUGAGGCUCGAAAGCAUGGGUAGCGAACAGGAUUAGAUACCCUGGUAGUCCAUGCCGUAAACGAUGAGUGCUAAGUGUUGGGAGGUUUCCGCCUCUCAGUGCUGCAGCUAACGCAUUAAGCACUCCGCCUGGGGAGUA